AUUGAACGCUGGCGGCAGGCCUAACACAUGCAAGUCGAGCGGGGUUUUCGAACCUAGCGGCGGACGGGUGAGUAAUGCGUAGGAAGCUACCCGAUAGAGGGGGAUACCAGUUGGAAACGACUGUUAAUACCGCAUAAUGUCUACGGACCAAAGUGUGGGACCUUCGGGCCACAUGCUAUCGGAUGCGCCUACGUGGGAUUAGCUAGUUGGUGAGGUAAUGGCUCACCAAGGCGACGAUCCCUAGCUGGUUUGAGAGGAUGAUCAGCCACACUGGACCGGAGACACGGUCCAGACUCCUACGGGAGGCAGCAGUGGGGAAUAUUGGACAAUGGGCGCAAGCCUGAUCCAGCCAUGCCGCGUGUGUGAAGAAGGCCUUCGGGUUGUAAAGCACUUUCAGUAGGGAGGAAGCGUUGUGUGUUAAUAGUACACAGCGUUGACGUUACCUACAGAAGAAGCACCGGCUAACUCUGUGCCAGCCGCCGCGGUAAUAC
rnacentral:rRNA from 1 species